rnacentral:rRNA from 1 species
AUUGAACGCUGGCGGCAUGCUUUACACAUGCAAGUCGAACGGUAACAGGCCUUCGGGCGCUGACGAGUGGCGAACGGGUGAGUAAUGCAUCGGAACGUGCCCAGUCGCGGGGGAUAACGCAGCGAAAGCUGUGCUAAUACCGCAUACUAUCCGCGGAUGAAAGCGGGGGACCUUCGGGCCCCGCGCGAUUGGAGCGGCCGGUGUCAGAUUAGGUAGUUGGUGGGGUAAAGGCUCACCAAGCCAACGAUCUGUAGCUGCGUCUGAGAGGCCGCCCAGCCACACUGGGACUGAGACACGGCCCAGACUCCUACGGGAGGAAGCAGUGGGGAAUUUUGGACAAUGGGCGCAAGCCUGAUCCAGCAAUGCCGCGUGCAGGAAGAAGGCCUUCGGGUUGUAAACUGCUUUUGUACGGAGCGAAAAGGCUCCCUCUAAUACAGGGGGCUCAUGACGGUACCGUAAGAAUAAGCACCGGCUAACUACGUGCCAGCCGCCGCCGUAAAAC